UAUUUCCAUUACAGAUUUGGAGUUCUAUGGGUAUUUUUGGUUCCAUAUUAGUCUUCAAGUUUCUGAAUUUUGUGGAUUUUUUUCUCUGUAUUUGAAUAGAAUCUAUUGUGGUUUUAGUUGUUUGGCUCAUGAGGAAACGAAGGAAAACAUGAUAUCUGACGUUGAUUAAAGAAAAUGAAAUGGAUUCCUGUCGUGGAGCAUGGUCUCUGUUUCGGAGUCUAGAUAACAGGGACCAUUCUCCAAUUCAAGUAUAUUUUAGCAAAAUAUGGAGCAAAUGAUUUUGGAUGAUUUGGAGGCUAAUCCUAAGAAAUACUGUUGUUUUGGAUAAGAUAUUGAGCGGUUUUGAGUCCGUCAAUGGUUAUCUAGUCUAAUAUUUAGUGGGGCUAGUAUGGUUAUUUCAGUACAAUAUUUAGUGGGUUUGUACUUGUUUGGUUUCCAAGAAAAUGUAAAGGCGA